GCCUGCGUCAUCCAGGCUGUCUUGCCGUCGCCAUGUGCGGAUUAUUGGUGGUGGAGGAGGAGAAACAUCCGGCAGACGAGGAGGACAAGAACUCGGCAGGGGAGAAGUACAAAAUCCAGUGGGACAGGGGAGGAGAGCAAGAAUCAGGGGUCAAGCAACUGCGGAGCAAGAUGCCGAACACGGUGGAGGUGGCGAUGAAACACACGGCGGCGAAGGUCGAGAAGAAUCCAGAAACCGGCAAGCAAGGGUAGUGAUGCCCAAAUUAGGAAGAAUUGAUCGGAUGAAGCCGGCAGCGGAUGAUCAACAGAUCGAAGGCUGAUCGGAAGAAUUGGUAGAAUGAAGACCAUUGGGAUCACUAUCUAACUCCUUUAUUGGAGCCCCAUGAACGUGGGAGUUGUGCACGAAGCACGUGGAUCCCCGCCGCCGGCUUCAGUUCAUCGGCACCUGCCCAACGUUGGCCACACAGCUGCCACAACAAGCACCACCACCAUCGCCUUCGGUGGCAGCCGGGGAGAAGGUUGUGGGGCGGCAACUAGUGGUCUAUGUUAGUGCCCAAUUGUUAGUUCUCCAUGCUCAUCUAUUUUAAAAGUUAGUAGAAUUGCUAUUGCUCUGCUCAUUUACAAUUCAUAUUUUGUAGCUUGAUCAAAGAAGAAGAAGCUGGAUGAUCAACGAAGUUGAUGAUUAGUGUAGCUUGAUCCAAGAAGUUGAUUAUUAGCACAGGUUGUAUGUAGGCAGUAGAUAUGGUACAAUGAAUUAUAAUUAGUAUGAAUUAUGUAUUUGAACAACUGUACCAAGUAAAAUUCAGCUACUGCCUACUGGAAUACUAGUUUGUAUUUGACAUGAGUGAAGGCAACAAAAUGAAGAUAA